AGGAUUUAGGUGCUGAAAAGUUAAAAGGGAAUAUGGUUAGAAUCCAUAACAGCCCCCGCUACUGUAAUUGAUGACGAGCUUCAAGAACCACUCGGAAGGGGAAGGUGAGGCAAAGGAUGAUUCAUAAGUCAGGAGACCUGCCUAAAAGU
rnacentral:ncRNA from 1 species